GCGGAAGUAGCUCAGUUGGUAGAGCGCAACCUUGCCAAGGUUGAGGUCGCGGGUUCGAGCCCCGUCUUCCGCU
rnacentral:tRNA from 3 species